rnacentral:lncRNA from 1 species
CAGGAGGGGAGGUGCAGGAGGGGCUGCAGGAGGGGCUGCAGGAGGGGCUGCAGGAGCAACAGCGGUAGUGGUAGGACCCCUGUGCCCUGCAACCUGGAGGCAGCCUACUGUGCUGCCCUCACCCUCUCACAGUCAAGCGGGACCCACUCCCAGGCCCAGAGCCUCCGCUGCUCGGGGAUCGGGACCCGGGCCCUGCGGCCACUGCUGGGAGGGUGUGGAGAAUAGGCGGACAAUCACCAGAGCCUGCACCGAGGACUGCCGCGAUGGGACCAGGCUGAGUCUGGCGGGGAAGCAGAGCAUUCAGGAAGAGAGGGGAAGGCAGAGAGAGGCCCCAGGACAAGAACUCAGGACCUGCUGCAUGGCGAGGCUGAAAGACCUGUAGCACAAUCAGGCCUGAAACAUGCACCUUGCUCACCAUGUCGCAGGCAAAGUGGAGAGAAGAGCUGCAGCCCUUCAGGCAUCCCAGACCUAGGAGCUCCCCAAGCCAGGGGUGUGACUCCCUUUUAGGAGCCUUGUGGUUCUUGCCAUCACCAAACUUCCAGGUGCCACCACAUUCACUGGUGCCAGCUGGGGAAGCUGCUUGUGGUGUGUCUUGUCCAGCUGUAGCCUUGUAGAGAGCUGGAGCCCACGCCAGCACCUGGAGCUGCCCACCCAUGGCAGCAGCAGGCAUGCCUGACUGUGUGCAGUGGCUGGACCCCAUGCUCCUCACACACCCCAUGCUGCUCCAUGCCUGACUUGCCCUUGGAGGUGUGGGAUCCAGGCUUGUAGGCUGAACCAGGCCGAGUAGGCAGAUUGAGCCCAGUGGGCCCAAGCAAAAGUCAAGCAAAGGUGCCACCAACAACAGAAGUUUCUGGCCAGAAAAGCAACACCCCAGGGGUCCUGUAACACUAUGACUUUAGCCUUUACUACCUACCUGUAGCCCCGUUACCCACUCCACAUCUUCCAUGUACAUUCACUGAAUUUCUGUGGCUCUAUAAACAUAACAUGUUGUUGUUUUUCCUCCUGGACUUCACUUACAUAUUUUAGUGGGUGCUAUGAAUUUACUGCAUAUCAUGUCUUAAAUAAUAAUAACCAAAUUUUGUAGUUCUUACUCUAUACCUAACCCUGUUCUAAGCAACAUGCAUGUGUAAAUGCUUUAAAUCUAACAGCAGGCCUAUGAAAGAUGGCCCAUUAUCCCCACUUUACACAUAAGGGGACUGAGGCACAUAUUUUCUAAUUAGCUUAAACAAACCCUGCUAGUGAACUGGGAACUGUAACAUAAACCCAGGCAGUCUGGCUGGAGAUUUCAGGCUGUUAAACAUUUUUAAUUGCUUAGUUUUACUCAUUACUCUAAAACUAAACUUAGAAUCCUCAUCUUCCAGAAUAUCUUUCAUUAUCUGCAAGAUAAAGUUAGGUGCAUUUUCUCUCUAUUAUAGUCUUCACAUAUUGAAUUUGAUUUUCACUAAAAUUAAGCUGUUAGACUUAUAGGUUGUAUUGGAGAUGACAUCAAAUCUGUUUUAUCCAUAUAACACAACUAUCUACAAGGUUCCAAGUAUAUAAAAUACUUGAUAAAUAUUUGUUAAAUAGAAAAUCCUUACUGUUUAUAUAAAACACAUUUGUGUAACAAUUUUUAAAUACUAUAUGUUACUCGUCAGAGUUUCUUGCUUAGUAGUUUUAUUUCCUUGAGCCAAAUUUCUCCUGUGUAAAAAAUGAGAAUAAAAUGAGACCCACCUCACAAUACUGUGUUGAGAAACAAUAGGUAAUAAAAGUGUUUAUCACAAGAGAAGCAUUAAACUAACAUAUUGGCUGUGCUUAGUUUAUUCUUAUUCUCAGCAAUUUUUAGUCCUGGAUAUCAAUUAUAAGAUUAAAGCUUUUAACUAUAAAAAUGUUCCCAUAUUGAUUUCAGUGUACUCAGU